UACGAGGGGUGCAAGCGUUGCUCGGAAUUAUUGGGCGUAAAGGGUAGGUAGGUGGUCUUAUUUGUCUGGGGUGAAAGCCUUGGGCUUAACUCAAGAAGUGCCCCAGAAACGGUAAGACUAGAGUCCUGGAGAGGGUCGUGGAAUUCCCGGUGUAGCGGUGAAAUGCGUAGAGAUCGGGAGGAACACCAGAGGCGAAGGCGGCGACCUGGACAGGGACUGACACUCAACUACGAAAGCGUGGGGAGCAAACAGG
rnacentral:rRNA from 1 species